rnacentral:rRNA from 1 species
UACAUAGGGUGCAAGCGUUGUUCGGAAUUAUUGGGCGUAAAGCGCGUGUAGGCGGCUUUGCAAGUCGGGUGUGAAAGCCCUCAGCUCAACUGAGGAAGUGCGCCCGAAACUGCAGAGCUUGAGUGCCGGAGAGGGUGGCGGAAUUCCACAAGUAGAGGUGAAAUUCGUAGAUAUGGGGAGGAACACCGGUGGCGAAGGCGGCCACCUGGACGGUAACUGACGCUGAGACGCGAAAGCGUGGGGAGCAAACAGG